CUUUUGCAUUUUCACAGGCUAAAAUUAUGGUUUCCUCACAGUCCAUGGAGGGAACUCCACUUGAUUGUGUUUUGAAUAACUUCAAAAAAAUUUAUUCCAUAGACAGGGAAGAUGAAUAUGGCAUGAAAUUUUCUAAAGGCAAAUUAAAAACCCUGUGUCAAUUAAAAUGGCCCAGUUUUGGAGUCAGUUGGCCCCCGGUGGGGACUUAAUUCUGUGCACAUUGCUCACAAGGUUUGGAAUGUGGUCACGGGAGUCAGGGCCCCACAGGUCCUGAUCGACCUUUGGCACUCAAUCAGGACAGGACUAUGGUCCAUCAGCCCCAUCUUCCUCCUCCCUUUUUCCUUUAAAACAGAGCCCAGGGGAGGAUUGAUUUAUGUCCCUUUUACAACUAGUGAUCUUUACAAUUGGAAACAUCAAAAUCCCCCCCCUUCUCUGAAAAACCUCAGGCAUUAAUCCCUUCUUGAGUCUGUUUUUCAUACCCAUCAACCAACCUGGGAUGAUUGCCAGCAGCUUUUACAGAUCCUGUUCACCAUUGAGGAGCGAGACCGCAUUUAUCAACAGACAGUCAAAGAGGCCCUGGGGCCAAACCUCGGCAUCACUCCCAGAACUCCAGAGCAUUCAGCCAAGGCUGAAACAGUAGUUCUGUCAUGAUACCUCGAAUGGGACCCCAAUGAUGAUGACAGUAAAGGGAGGCUGGGGAACUACUGCCAGCACUUAUUAGGGGGACUCCAGGAAGUGGCCAGAAAGUCCACUAAUUUCAGUAAGGCACAAGAGACAGUCCCUCUGGACAGAAAAGGAGAAAGCACCUUUUUGGCUUUAAAAAAAGCCUUAGUGUCAGCACCAGCCCUGGCUGUACCUGAUGUCACCAAGCCCUUUUGGUUGUUUGUGGCUGAACAAGGGGACAUACCAAAAGGAGUGCUAGCUCAGGCAUUAGGGCCUUGAAACAGACCUGUGGCCUACCUGUCUAGAAGACUUGAUCCUGUGGCAACUGGGUGGUCUACCUGUUUGAGGGCAGUUGCAGCAACCACCCUCCUGGUCCAGGAGGCAGAUAAGCUCAGCCUGGAACAGGACAUGGUCAUCACCACACCCCAUGCGGUGGAGACAUUGCUGAGAGGAUCCCCAGAAUGAUGGCUCUCCAACGCCUGCCUGACUGAGUACCAGGCCCUGUUGCUGGAUGCUCCACAUGUCAAAUUCACCUGAGAAAUGACCCUCAAUCCAGCCACCAUACUCCUGGACUCCGACUCAUACGCAUGCCUCUCCAUGACUGUCUGGACACUCUGACAACUUCCACCACCAACCACCCAGACCUGACUGAUGUUCCCCUGCAAAGCCCAGAUGAGACCUUCUUCACCAAUGGGAACAGCUUCGUGGAAGACAGAGUCAG
rnacentral:lncRNA from 1 species